rnacentral:lncRNA from 1 species
GAGACUGGUUAGAAGUCGGUAGAGUUAAGCUGAGAAAGAAAUGAGGGCCUGCACUGGAGUAGGAGUAGUAAAGAACAAAGGAGGCAGAUCUUGGGAGGAGACUUGGGAGCUGGACUAGCCUCUGAGGGCCCUUCCAGCUUGGAGUUUAUGAACCCACCAUACACCAUAGCUCCUGGUUGGUACUCUGGAGAGCUACAGAGCAAAGCCUAGAUGAGAGAAUGCUGAGAGGGAAUCGUGAAAAGAAAAGGACUGAUGAUAAAUGACGAACUGAAUGAAUGAGUCCAUGUGCUUAUCCACCUGAUGACAGAACAGAAGAGAAUAGUCCUUCAGUGGGAAGAAGAGGGUUAGUUGUCUAACUA